rnacentral:tRNA from 4 species
GCCCUCUUAGCUUAGUGGUAGAGCAAUGGUUUCGUAAACCAUCGACGCCAGUUCGAUUCUGGCAGAGGGCU